AGGCACGUAGCUCAGUUGGUUAGAGCACCACCUUGACAUGGUGGGGGUCGGUGGUUCGAGUCCACUCGUGCCUACCA
rnacentral:tRNA from 6 species